CCUAAUACAUGCAAGUCGAACGCUUCUUUUUCCACCGGAGCUUGCUCCACCGGAAAAAGAGGAGUGGCGAACGGGUGAGUAACACGUGGGUAACCUGCCCAUCAGAAGGGGAUAACACUUGGAAACAGGUGCUAAUACCGUAUAACAAUCAAAACCGCAUGGUUUUGAUUUGAAAGGCGCUUUCGGGUGUCGCUGAUGGAUGGACCCGCGGUGCAUUAGCUAGUUGGUGAGGUAACGGCUCACCAAGGCCACGAUGCAUAGCCGACCUGAGAGGGUGAUCGGCCACAUUGGGACUGAGACA
rnacentral:rRNA from 1 species